rnacentral:rRNA from 1 species
UACGGGGGGGGCAAGCGUUGUUCGGAAUUACUGGGCGUAAAGGGCUCGUAGGCGGCCAACUAAGUCAGACGUGAAAUCCCUCGGCUUAACCGGGGAACUGCGUCUGAUACUGGAUGGCUUGAGUUUGGGAGAGGGACUGCGGAAUUCCAGGUGUAGCGGUGAAAUGCGUAGAUAUCUGGAGGAACACCGGUGGCGAAGGCGGCAUCCUGGACCGAUACUGACGCUGAGGAGCGAAAGCCAGGGGAGCAAAGCGGG